rnacentral:sRNA from 1 species
AUUAGGUCUUGGCAGUUGCGGCAACUUUGAGCGACAAUCUGAAGAUCCGAAGCGAAAGCGUCGGGAUAAUAAUAACGAUGAAAUUCCUCUUUGACGGGCCAAUAGCGAUAUUGGCCA